AUCCUUUUGUAGUUCGUAAGCAUGAUGAUUGGGUGCUCAUGCCGCUGUGUGACAUGUGCCACCCUUAAACCUUGGUACAACGCCGGCACGUUACCCGUCUGACG
rnacentral:snoRNA from 1 species